rnacentral:rRNA from 1 species
AGUAACGCGUAGAAUCUGGCUNUAGGUCUGGGACAACCACUGGAAACGGUGGCUAAUACCGGAUGUGCCGAAAGGUGAAAGGUUAACUGCCUGGAGAUGAGCUCGCGUCUGAUUAGCUAGUAGGUGUGGUAAGAGCGCACCUAGGCGACGAUCAGUAGCUGGUCUGAGAGGACGAUCAGCCACACUGGGACUGAGACACGGCCCAGACUCCUACGGGAGGCAGCAGUGGGGAAUUUUCCGCAAUGGGCGAAAGCCUGACGGAGCAAUACCGCGUGAGGGAGGAAGGCUCUUGGGUCGUAAACCUCUUUUCUCAGGGAAGAACAAAAUGACGGUACCUGAGGAAUAAGCAUCGGCUAACUCCGUGCCAGCAGCCGCGGUAAUACGGAGGAUGCAAGCGUUAUCCGGAAUGAUUGGGCGUAAAGCGUCCGCAGGUGGCUGUGUAAGUCUGCUGUUAAAGAGUCUAGCUCAACUAGAUACAAGCAGUGGAAACUACACGGCUAGAGUACGUUCGGGGCAGAGGGAAUUCCUGGUGUAGCGGUGAAAUGCGUAGAGAUCAGGAAGAACACCAGUGGCGAAGGCGCUCUGCUAGGCCGUAACUGACACUGAGGGACGAAAGCUAGGGGAGCGAAAGGGAUUAGAUACCCCUGUAGUCA